UACGAAGGGGGCUAGCGUUGCUCGGAAUCACUGGGCGUAAAGGGUGCGUAGGCGGGUCUUUAAGUCAGGGGUGAAAUCCUGGAGCUCAACUCCAGAACUGCCUUUGAUACUGGGGAUCUCGAGUCCGGGAGAGGUGAGUGGAACUCCGAGUGUAGAGGUGAAAUUCGUAGAUAUUCGGAAGAACACCAGUGGCGAAGGCGGCUC
rnacentral:rRNA from 1 species